rnacentral:rRNA from 1 species
ACGCUGGCGGCGUGCCUAAUACAUGCAAGUAGAACGCUGAAGCUUGGUGCUUGCACCGAGCGGAAGAGUUGCGAACGGGUGAGCAACGCGUAGGUAACCUGCCUGGUAGCGGGGGAUAACUAUUGGAAACGAUAGCUAAUACCGCAUAACAGUCGACAUUGCAUGAUGUUGAUUUGAAAGGGGCAAUUGCUCCACUACCAGAUGGACCUGCGUUGUAUUAGCUAGUUGGUGAGGUAACGGCUCACCAAGGCGACGAUACAUAGCCGACCUGAGAGGGUGAUCGGCCACACUGGGACUGAGACACGGCCCAGACUCCUACGGGAGGCAGCAGUAGGGAAUCUUCGGCAAUGGACGGAAGUCUGACCGAGCAACGCCGCGUGAGUGAAGAAGGUUUUCGGAUCGUAAAGCUCUGUUGUAAGAGAAGAACGAGUGUGAGAGUGGAAAGUUCACACUGUGACGGUAACUUACCAGAAAGGGACGGCUAACUACGUGCCAGCAGCCGCGGUAAUACGUAGGUCCCGAGCGUUAUCCGGAUUUAUUGGGCGUAAAGCGAGCGCAGGCGGUUAGAUAAGUCUGAAGUUAAAGGCUGUGGCUUAACCAUAGUACGCUUUGGAAACUGUUUAACUUGAGUGCAGAAGGGGAGAGUGGAAUUCCAUGUGUAGCGGUGAAAUGCGUAGAUAUAUGGAGGAACACCGGUGGCGAAAGCGGCUCUCUGGUCUGUAACUGACGCUGAGGCUCGAAAGCGUGGGGAGCAAACAGGAUUAGAUGCCCUGGUAGUCCACGCCGUAAACGAUGAGUGCUAGGUGUUGGGUCCUUUCCGGGACUCAGUGCCGCAGCUAACGCAUUAAGCACUCCGCCUGGGGAGUACGACCGCAAGGUUGAAACUCAAAGGAAUUGACGGGGGCCCGCA